rnacentral:rRNA from 1 species
GUGGGGAAUCUUAGACAAUGGGCGCAAGCCUGAUCUAGCCAUGCCACGUGAGCGAUGAAGGCCUUAGGGUUGUAAAGCUCUUUCAGCUGGGAAGAUAAUGACGGUACCAGCAGAAGAAGCCCCGGCUAACUCCGUGCCAGCAGCCGCGGUAAUACGGAGGGGGCUAGCGUUGUUCGGAAUUACUGGGCGUAAAGCGCACGUAGGCGGAUCAGAAAGUCAGAGGUGAAAUCCCAGGGCUCAACCUUGGAACUGCCUUUGAAACUCCUGAUCUUGAGGUCGAGAGAGGGGAGUGGAAUUCCGAGUGUAGAGGUGAAAUUCGUAGAUAUACGGAGGAACACCAGUGGCGAAGGCGGCUCACUGGCUCGAUACUGACGCUGAGGUGCGAAAGCGUGGGGAGCAAACAGGAUUAGAAACCCCAGUAGUCC